UCCGAUUUGUCACCGGCAGUCACCUUAGAGUGCCCAACUUAAUGCUGGCAACUAAGAUUAGGGGUUCCGCUCGUCACGGGACUUAACCCAACAUCUCACGACACGAGCUGACGACAACCAUGCACCACCUGUCACUCUGUCCCCGAAGGGAAAGCCCUAUCUCUAGGGUUGUCAGAGGAUGUCAAGACCUGGUAAGGUUCUUCGCGUUGCUUCGAAUUAAACCACAUGCUCCACCGCUUGUGCGGGCCCCCGUCAAUUCCUUUGAGUUUCAGCCUUGCGGCCGUACUCCCCAGGCGGGGUACUUACUGCGUUAGCGACGGCACCGGAGGGGUCGCUCCCCCCGACGCCUAGUACCCAUCGUUUACGGCGUGGACUAC
rnacentral:misc_RNA from 1 species